rfam:Dipodomys ordii contig_56125, whole genome shotgun sequence.
GGGAAAGUGGCUCAGUGGUAGAGUGCUUGCCUUGCAUGCAUGAGGCCCUGGGUUCGAUUCCUCAGCACCA